GCGGAAGUGGUGGAACCGGUAGACACGCUAUCUUGAGGGGGUAGUGGAGCAAUCCGUGCGAGUUCAAGUCUCGCCUUCCGCA
rnacentral:tRNA from 1 species